GAUGAACGCUGGCGGCGUGCCUAAUACAUGCAAGUCGAGCGAACGGACGAGAAGCUUGCUUCUCUGAUGUUAGCGGCGGACGGGUGAGUAACACGUGGAUAACCUACCUAUAAGACUGGGAUAACUUCGGGAAACCGGAGCUAAUACCGGAUAAUAUUUUGAACCGCAUGGUUCAAAAGUGAAAGACGGUCUUGCUGUCACUUAUAGAUGGAUCCGCGCUGCAUUAGCUAGUUGGUAAGGUAACGGCUUACCAAGGCAACGAUGCAUAGCCGACCUGAGAGGGUGAUCGGCCACACGGGAAGUGAGACACGGUCCAGACUGCUACGGGAGGCAGCAGUAGGGAAUCUUCCGCAAUGGGCGAAAGCCUGACGGAGCAACGCCGCGUGAGUGAUGAAGGUCUUCGGAUCGUAACUCUGUUAUUAGGGAAGAACAUAUGUGUAAGUAACUGUGCACAUCUUGACGGUACCUAAUCAGAAAGCCACGGCUAACUACGUG
rnacentral:rRNA from 1 species